AACGUAGGAGACAAACGUUAUCCGGAGUUACUGGGCGUAAAGGGCGUGUAGGUGGUUUCGUAAGUCUGGCGUGAAAUUUUUCGGCUUAACCGGGAAAGGUCGUCGGAUACUGCUAAACUAGAGGACGGUAGAGGCGUGUGGAAUUCCGGGUGUAGUGGUGAAAUGCGUAGAGAUCCGGAGGAACACCAGUGGCGAAGGCGACACGCUGGGCCGUACCUGACACUGAUGCGCGACAGCAUGGGGAGCAAACAGG
rnacentral:rRNA from 1 species